AAAUUGAAGAGUUUGAUCAUGGCUCAGAUUGAACGCUGGCGGCAGGCCUAACACAUGCAAGUCGAGCGGCAGCGGGAAAGUAGCUUGCUACUUUUGCCGGCGAGCGGCGGACGGGUGAGUAAUGCCUGGGGAUCUGCCCAGUCGAGGGGGAUAACUACUGGAAACGGUAGCUAAUACCGCAUACGCCCUACGGGGGAAAGCAGGGGACCUUCGGGCCUUGCGCGAUUGGAUGAGCCCAGGUGGGAUUAGCUAGUUGGUGAGGUAAUGGCUCACCAAGGCGACGAUCCCUAGCUGGUCUGAGAGGAUGAUCAGCCACACUGGAACUGAGACACGGUCCAGACUCCUACGGGAGGCAGCAGUGGGGAAUAUUGCACAAUGGGGGAAACCCUGAUGCAGCCAUGCCGCGUGUGUGAAGAAGGCCUUCGGGUUGUAAAGCACUUUCAGCGAGGAGGAAAGGUUGGUAGCUAAUAACUGCCAGCUGUGACGUUACUCGCAGAAGAAGCACCGGCUAACUCCGUGCCAGCAG
rnacentral:rRNA from 1 species